AUGAAAAUUGAAAAGGGAAUAGGGUUUGAGAGAGAAAAGUCGUUCUCUUCUUCUCCGCAGAACAACACGAACGGCGCCGACAGACACAGCCUCCUCCGCUUCUGUUUCUUCAUCCGCCGUGCUCAGCUCUCAACCUCAGCUUCCGAUCCGGCGCGGCCUCUUCUUCUCCAAUUGGAACAUAACGCCGCCGCGAUUUCUCUUCGUCCGGCUUAG